AGAGCUAUUUAUUUAGCCAAGGAUGACUUGCCUACACCUUGUUAUCAGUAUUUGCUAGUCAUGCCGAUAUUGAUUUCAGGUUCUGGCAAGUUGCCUCGGCUAAAUAUUUUUCUCU
rnacentral:pre_miRNA from 1 species